UACGUAGGUGGCAAGCGUUGUCCGGAUUUACUGGGUGUAAAGGGCGUGUAGGCGGGUACCUAAGUCAGACGUGAAAUACCGGGGCUCAACUCCGGAGCUGCGUUUGAAACUGGGUGUCUUGAGUGCAGGAGAGGAUAGCGGAAUUCCUAGUGUAGCGGUGAAAUGCGUAGAGAUUAGGAGGAACACCAGUGGCGAAGGCGGCUAUCUGGACUGUAACUGACGCUGAGGCGCGAAAGUGUGGGGAGCAAAC
rnacentral:rRNA from 1 species